rnacentral:rRNA from 1 species
AACGAACGCUGGCGGCAUGCCUAACACAUGCAAGUCGAACGAGACCUUCGGGUCUAGUGGCGCACGGGUGCGUAACGCGUGGGAACCUGCCUUUAGGUUCGGAAUAACUCAGAGAAAUUUGAGCUAAUACCGGAUAAUGUCUUCGGACCAAAGAUUUAUCGCCUUUAGAUGGGCCCGCGUUGGAUUAGCUAGUUGGUGGGGUAAAGGCCUACCAAGGCGACGAUCCAUAGCUGGUCUGAGAGGAUGAUCAGCCACACUGGGACUGAGACACGGCCCAGACUCCUACGGGAGGCAGCAGUGGGGAAUAUUGGACAAUGGGCGAAAGCCUGAUCCAGCAAUGCCGCGUGAGUGAAGAAGGCCUC